rnacentral:rRNA from 1 species
UAAUGUCUGGGAAACUGCCUGAUGGAGGGGGAUAACUACUGGAAACGGUAGCUAAUACCGCAUAACGUCGCAAGACCAAAGUGGGGGACCUUCGGGCCUCAUGCCAUCAGAUGUGCCCAGAUGGGAUUAGCUAGUAGGUGGGGUAAUGGCUCGCCUAGGCGACGAUCCCUAGCUGGUCUGAGAGGAUGACCAGCCACACUGGAACUGAGACACGGUCCAG